rnacentral:rRNA from 1 species
UACGGAGGGUGCAAGCGUUAUCCGGAUUUACUGGGUUUAAAGGGUGCGUAGGUGGUUUGGUAAGUCAGUGGUGAAAUACUUUCGCUUAACGAAGGAACUGCCAUUGAUACUACCAGUCUUGAAUACAGUGGAGGUAGGCGGAAUGCGUCAUGUAGCGGUGAAAUGCUUAGAUAUGACGCAGAACACCAAUUGCGAAGGCAGCUUGCUACACUGUUAUUGACACUGAGGCACGAAAGCGUGGGGAUCAAACAGG